GACGUAGGGCGCGAGCGUUGUCCGGAUUUAUUGGGCGUAAAGAGCUCGUAGGCGGCUCGUUGCGUCGGCUGUGAAAACCCGCAGCUCAACUGUGGGCUUGCAGCUGAUACGGGCGGGCUGGGAUUCGGUAGGGGAGACUGGAAUACUUGGUGUAGCAGUGAAAUGCGUAGAUAUCAAGUGGAACACCAGUGGCGAAGGCGAGUCUCUGGACAUUUCCUGACGCUGAGGCACGAAAGCCAGGGGAGCAAACGGG
rnacentral:rRNA from 1 species